rnacentral:rRNA from 1 species
UACGUAGGGGGCUAGCGUUGCUCGGAAUCACUGGGCGUAAAGGGCGCGUAGGCGGACUCUUAAGUCGGGGGUGAAAGCCCAGGGCUCAACCCUGGAAUUGCCUUCGAUACUGAGAGUCUUGAGUUCGGAAGAGGUUGGUGGAACUGCGAGUGUAGAGGUGAAAUUCGUAGAUAUUCGCAAGAACACCAGUGGCGAAGGCGGCCAACUGGUCCGAUACUGACGCUGAGGCGCGAAAGCGUGGGGAGCAAACAGG